AGGGAAUCUUCCGCAAUGGGCGAAAGCCUGACGGAGCAACGCCGCGUGAGUGAAGAAGGAUUUCGGUUCGUAAAGCUCUGUUGUUAGGGAAGAAUGAUUGUAUAGUAACUAUAUGCAGUAGAGACGGUACCUAACCAGAAAGCCACGGCUAACUACGUGCCAGCAGCCGCGGUAAUACGUAGGUGGCAAGCGUUGUCCGGAAUUAUUGGGCGUAAAGCGCGCGCAGGUGGUUUAAUAAGUCUGAUGUGAAAGCCCACGGCUCAACCGUGGAGGGUCAUUGGAAACUGUUAAACUUGAGUGCAGGAGAGAAAAGUGGAAUUCCUAGUGUAGCGGUGAAAUGCGUAGAGAUUAGGAGGAACACCAGUGGCGAAGGCGGCUUUUUGGCCUGUAACUGACACUGAGGCGCGAAAGCGUGGGGAGCAAACAGGAUUAGAUACCCUGGUAGUCCACGCCGUAAACGAUGAGUGCUAAGUGUUGGUCUCAUAAGAGAUCAGUGCUGCAGCUAACGCAUUAAGCACUCCGCCUGGGGAGUACGACCGCAAGGUUG
rnacentral:rRNA from 1 species